AUUUCUCUGUUCUCUAUUAAAUUUUCAGAGUUGUCCUUUUAUUACCUUGAACAUUUUAAACAUAUUUAUGUUAAGCUUUACAUCUAAGGGUUUUUUGUUUUUGUUUUUGUUUGUUUGUUUGUUUGCUUUGGUCUUUUUAGGGCCACACCUGCAGCAUAUGAAAGUUCCCAGGCUAGGGGUUGAAUCAGAGCUUCAGCUGCUAGCCACAGCCACAGCCACACCAGAUCUGAGUCACAUCUAUGACCUACCUCUACAGCUCAUAGCAAUGCCAGAUCCUUAACCCACUGGGUGGGGCCAGGGAUCAAACUGUGUCCUAUGGAUACCAGUUGGGUUCAUCACUGCUGAGCCACAACAGGAACUCCUUUUUUUUUAAUGAAUUCUUAAUCUGUAGACACUAUAUAUAUAGGUCUCUUUCUGUUGUUGGUUAUUUCUGUUGAUGCCCAUUCAUGUUGCUCUGUCUUGUUUGCUCAGUUAUUUAUUUAUGCUGUAUACUCACAUCUAAGGUAAUUCUCAUUUUAAGAACAGAUCAACUUUCUAUUUGUUAAGUUAUGGUCUUUGGUGUCCUAGCCCAAAAGGUGGGAGUUUUGUUAGAAUCCUCCAAAAUUGGCAUUUCUGGACCCCAACCAAGUUCAUCUCCCUAGCUCUGUGAGGCUGUCCAAAGUGUUGUUCAAACUUUUAACUUCCUGUUGUGGAAUCAGUAAACAUUCCUAUGUGUUUAAAUGGUUCUAAAUGACCAGAUCACUACUCCCGAGUUUCUGCCUCCUGCUACAUUUUGACAUAGAAAUUCAUCACUGCUUUUUUAUUUUUCUGGUAACUUAAAGGAGAUAUGUUUUAUAUUUUGACCAAUUUUUCAGUCAUCAUUACCAAGAGAAUUGUCAGCAUUAACCUUUUCCACCUUUAUGCCUUUUUCUGAUAACCCUUCACUCACUUUAAUAUGGCUUCUGCCUUAUUUCAUUGAGGCUUUUAUUAAUUUUGCCACCAACAUCCUUGAUGUUGCCAAAUCUAAUGGACCCUUUUCAGUUUUCAUGGUUCUCAUCUUCUCAGCAGCAUUUGACAUAAUUCUUGUCUUACAGUACUUUCUAUAUCUUAAGGUUUGCCUUCUGUAUCUUAAGAUUUUCUACUAUCUCAAAGACAGUCUUCAGUUUUACUAACACUUCUCUAUCCAAUCUGUAUUUCCUCUGUGCAUUUCUUAUAAAAAAUUUUACAUAAAUGUGAUCAUAAUUGCUUCAUUUUUACUAACACUUCUCUAUCUAAUCUGCUAAAACUUUUUUUCCCUUGAAUUUGGUUGCCCCCACCCCAUUGUCAACCUCAUUCUCCACCCCCAUUCAUGUUAACCUGUUUGUAACCUUGCGUAUUUCUCUCCAUGCUUGUAUAAUCAUAUACAGAGAAAAAAUAUGUAUAAAGACAUAAUACAGGUUACAUAGAGUGUCUUUUUUUGUUUGUUUUUUUGCUUUAGCUUUUUUAAAAACAAAAUUGGACUAUUAUGCCCAUUCUUCUGCAACUUGCUUGUUUUCGUUGUUUUUUACUUUAAGUAUUUUAAUUUAAAAAUACUUAUGGACAUCUAUCUCUCCAGUUCAUUCUUCUGAAUGGUAUAUCAUGGUAUAUAAUAAUUUAUUCAGUCGUUUCUCUGUAGAUGAGCAUUCACAAUUUCCAGGUUUCCCCCCACCCCACUAUGCACAAUGCUGCAGUAAACGUCUCUAUAAAAAUUUCCUUAUGCUGAUACUGAUGGCUUUGUUUUUGUUUGUUUUGUCUUUUUAGGGCCAUACCUGCAGCACAUGGAGGUUCCCAGCCAGGGGUUGAAUCGGAGCUGCAGCUGCCGGCCUAUGCCACAGCCACAGCAAUGCAGGAUCUGAGCGGCAUCUAUGACCUACACCAGCACUCAUGGCAGCACCAGAUCCUUAACCUACUGAGCGAGGCCUGGGAUCAAACCCACGUCCUCAUGGAUACUUGUCAGGUUUGGUACUGCUGAGCCAUAGUGGAAACUCACCUGAUGGCUUUGUUUUUAUGGGACAGUUUCCCAGAGAGAAGAGUGUGGCAUGGGUGUGGUUGUGUGUAUGUGUGUGGGGGGGGUGUUGCUUUUUAAAACUUUAAGUAUGCUUUAAAAUCUUGAGGAAAGUUAAUCAGUCACACAGAAUAUAACAUAAAUAUGUAAAAAUCAUAUAGAUAUAUAGCUUCAUUAAUUUUCAACCUCCAAAAGAGCAUGCACAUCAAAUAGAAAGUUUCCAACAUGGAAAUUUCUCUCAUGUUCCUAAUUAAUAACCCCCUCCAAAAUGAACAUUAUGUGGACUUCUAAGACCACGUAUUCGUGUCUGCCUAUUUUUGAACUUAUAUAAAUGGGAUUUUUGAUUUCAUCAAUGUCAAAUGGCUAUCCUAAGAACUUACAUUACGUAUUUUUAUCACCGAAGUGUGAAAAGGUACCCUUUCUUCCACAUCUCAGACAGUGCUGUCAUUGCUCUUUUAAAUCUUGUUUAUGGUUUUCAUUGCUAAGAAAAAAAAUACCCUUUAACUAUAAACUAAUUUGAGCAUUUAAAAAGUAUAUUUGUUGGCUAUUUAGAUUUCCUUUUCUGUAGGUAGGCUGUUCAUAUCCUCUUUCAUUUUACAAUUAGCCUGAUUUUUCUUAUCAAUUUUAGGGUCUCUCUCUCUCUACACACACACACACACACACACACACACACACACGCAAUCUCCUUGGUCAUCUAUAUUACAAGUCCUUUCCCCAAAUCUAUUGUUUGUAUAUUAGCUUUGCCCAUGGUAUCUUUUACCAUACCACUUUACAUUUCUAGAUAGUCAAAUAUGUAUGUCGUUUGUUCUAUAGCUUUAGGAUUUCCUAAUUUAAUGAAGAUCUCCUUUGCUCAAACACUGUAGCCCUCUGGGGUUUAAUCUUGGGCUCCCUUCUUCUUUUUUUUUUUUUUUUUUUUUUGUUCUCAUCAACCUAGUUGAUGUUAUUCAUUCCCAUUGCAUUGAAUCUCCUCUAAACACUGAUGAUGCUCACAUGUAUAUCCCAUCCCAGACCUCUGCUUGGAGCUGUAGUUAUACAAAUCUCACCCCUUGCCAUCUGUGAGGGCCAUGCUAGGUCUUAGGGGAUAGAGCAGUAUGUGGUCCCUACCCUCAGAGCUGAUUAGAGGAAGCAGAUGCUAUGUGACAUGGAAGCAAUGACUGGAAGCUUGCUGAUGUAGUGCACAUUUUGUACUGCUGUCGGGGAAAGACUGCAGCCAAAGAAUUACAUAUCUUUAGAAAAUGAAAACAUUUCAAUGGAAAGAUAGGCAAAAGAUAUGAAAAGGUUAUUCUUGGAAAAGGAAACCUGAAUAGCCAGUAAACAUGUAUGACACUCAACUAGUUAAUUGGAGAAAAUUAAAAUGAGAUAACCAUUUUUAAAAAAUGAUUGUAAUGGCAAAACUCUAAAAUCUUAAAUAUCAAGUUUUAAAGAUAUGAAGGAAAGAAUUCUGCUUGCUGAUCAAAGUUUAUAGUGGUACAACCACCUCUGAGAGCAAUUUGGCAAAAAGGAGAUGCACCUCCUUUUUCAUUUAGAAGUUCCACUUCUGAGUAUACCUAGACAGUGCUUCUCACUCAGUCUUUGAUGCACAUAAAAAUCAGCAUGGGGUCUUGUUAAAACUCAGGUUAUGAUUCUGUAGGUUGGAAAGAUCUGAGAUUCUUAAUUUCUAACAAGCUCCUAGGUGAUAUCAUUGUUGCUGGUCCAGGGACACAGUUUAAAUAGAAAGACAAGGCCUAAGAGAAACUGGAGCAUAUCCUCAGGGGACACACAGAGAGACACAAAGAUGUUUAUUACAGCUCUGAUGGUAUUAAUGAUCAUCUGAAAACUACUGAGGUGAGUGGAUGGCUAAAUUCCUGCAGUUGAAUGCAAGAGUUAAAAGGACCUGGAGUUGGGAGUUCCCCUCAUGGCUCAGUGGUAACGGACCCAACUAGGAUCCACGAGGAUGUGGGUUCAAUCCCUGACCUUGCUCAGUGGGUUAAGGACCCGGCGUUGUUGUGGUAUAGGUCACAGAUACAGCUUAAAUCUGGCAUUGCUGCAGCUGUGGCAGAGGUUGGCAGCUAUAGCUCUGAUUUGACCCCUAGCCUGGGAACCU
rnacentral:lncRNA from 1 species